AAACCAACAGGGAUUGCCCCAGUAACGGCGAGUGAAGCGGCAACAGCUCAAAUUUGAAAUCUGGCCCUCGUGGUUAGAGUUGUAAUUUGAAGAGGAUGCUUUGGGUGCGGUGCCUUCCGAGUUCCCUGGGACGGGACGCCACAGAGGGUGAGAGCCCCGUAUGGUCGGAUGCCUAGCCUAUGUAAAGCUCCUUCGACGAGUCGAGUAGUUUGGGAAUGCUGCUCUAAAUGGGAGGUAAAUUUCUUCUAAAGCUAAAUACCGGCCCAAGACCGAUAGCGCACAAGUAGAGUGAUCGAAAGAUGAAAAGCACUUUGAAAAGAGGGUUAAACAGCACGUGAAAUUGUUGAAAGGGAAGCGUUUGUGACCAGACUUGCGCCCGGUGAAUCAUCCAGCUCUCCGCGCUGGUGCACUUUGCCGGGCUCAGGCCAGCAUCGGUCUCCUUAGGGGGAUAAAAGCUCCGGGAACGUAGCUCUUUCGGGAGUGUUAUAGCCCGCUGCAGAAUACCCUUCGGGGGACCGAGGUUCGCGCUCCGCAAGGAUGCUGGCGUAAUGGUUACCAACGGC
rnacentral:rRNA from 1 species